UGGAACUGGGCGGGCUGGGCCGGGCCACACCCCUACCCGAGUCCGGCCCGUAAUUUUUCUAUGGGCUUCGGGCCGGGCUUCGGCCCGAAAAUUUUUCAAAACAUGAGGCCCGAGCCCGGCCCGGGCCCAAACCCGAGCCUGGCCCGGGCCCAAUCGGGCCGGCCCUAACCUAAUCGGCCUGGCCCGAACUUAAUCGGGCCGGCCUUUACCUUGUGUGACGGAGCAUCUCGCUGGUAACAUGCAGAAUUUGUGUGAGCAGAAAAAGCAAUAGCCCGACGCACUACUUGAGAUAGGAGGGAAGCAAUGCGAUUGAAAACUUUGUGGCCAAGCUAUGUAUGCCAAGACUACCUUCUGUCCGUUCCCUUCUGAAGUUGCCAUAUAAUCAAGUAACGCUGGCAAGGAAUUCGGACAAUAAGCUAGCCUGCACAUAGAACAAAGCCUCUACCAGCAUUCCUGAGCAACAACACAGGUCACAAUAAUAUGCUGAAGAUCUUCAAUUUGCUUAGGACAUAGAUCACAAUGUUGCUCUGAUACCACUAGUCCACAACGAGCUAAAUAAGCCUUACAGGGCAUCCGAUUUCACAAAAGCUGCCACCAAAAUAAUUUGACUAGAGGCAAAACUUGUAACUUCCAAAUCCAGGAAAAGGUUAAAGAUGCAGUAAAAUGAGAAUGAUAGGAAAGCUGGGCCAUAUCAUGCAAAGUCACAGCACGCAAUUUUGGGUUGCCCCAAACAAGAGCUCAUGUGCAAAAGGAAUAG
rnacentral:lncRNA from 1 species